rnacentral:rRNA from 1 species
CCCUUAGAUGUUCUGAACCGCACGCGUGUUACACUGAUGCAUUCAACGAGCUUUACCUUGGCCGGGAGGCCUGGGAAAUCUUUUUAGCAUGCAUCGUGAUAGGGAUUGAUUAUUGCAAUUAUUAAUCAUGAACGAGGAAUUCCUAGUAAACGCAUUUCAUCAAAAUGCAUUGAUUACGUCCCUGCCCUUUGUACACACCGCCCGUCGCUACUACCGAUUGGAUGGCUUAGUGAGACCCUCGGACCGAUAGGUUGUCGCUGCAGCAAUGUGGCGACUGACCCGUCUUGGGAAGAAGGUCAAACUUGACUGUCUAGAGGAAGUAAAAGUCGUAACA